rnacentral:rRNA from 1 species
CCCUUAGAUGUUCUGGGCCGCACGCGCGCUACACUGAUGCAUUCAACGAGCCUAGCCUUGACCGAGAGGUCCGGGUAAUCUUUGAAACUGCAUCGUGAUGGGGCUAGAUUAUUGCAAUUAUUAAUCUUCAACGAGGAAUGCCUAGUAAGCGUGAUUCAUCAAAUCGCGUUGAUUACGUCCCUGCCCUUUGUACACACCGCCCGUCGCUCCUACCGAUUGAGUGUGUUGGUUAGGAGUUUGGAUUGGCCUCGGAAGGUGGUUCGCCACCGUCCGUAGCUGAGAAGUUCUCCAAACCGCCCCACUUAGAGGAAGGAGAAGUCGUAACA